CGUAAAAAAAUAAAAUAAAAAAAAAAAUUAUCAGUAGCACAAUGCGUAAUGGUAACUAUAAAAGUUUAGUAGUUACAAAAUAUUUAAUCAUGGGUCUUGUAAAUAAAUAAUAAUAAGUCGCGACAUUUUCAAAUCAUGAAUUAAAACUACUCCAUUUUUUAUUUCGCUUAUUUUUUUUUUAAUAUUAGCAAUUACAAACACUGGGAAAAACAAAAUGCAACAAUUUUGUUAGCAGUCCUUUAUUUAUUUGUUUUUUAUUUGUUUAUUCAUUUGUUUUUUAUUUGUUUAUUCANNNNNNNNNNUGUUUAUUCAUUUGUUUUUUAUUUGUUUAUUCAUUUGUUUUUUAUUUAUUUAUUUUUAACAUUAAUUUAUAUAUAUAUAUAUAUAUAUAUAUGUAUAUGUAUAUGUAUAUGUAUAUAUGUAUAUAUGUAUAUAUGUAUAUGUCAGUGUUUAUUUUUUGAAUUGUUCAAUGUGUAAGUAAUAUAACACUUAAAGUGUGGUUAAAAGAGUUGAAAAAGAGAUAGCCAAAAUAACAAAACAAAAAAGCUUAUGAAAUACAGGAAUUUGUAUAAAGUGUGUAUGAGGUCAUGAGUACACUUGUGUAUAGUAAAUAUACGAAUAAACAAAAUGGAAAAGAACAAAAUAGAGCACUUGGUGAAAGGCUUGAGCACGUUUGAAAUGUUUAUGAAUCAAUAUAUAGUAAAAUACAAAAACUCAAAAGUUUGUUAUGUUUGUAAGAAUAAGAUAACAAAUAAUCAUGUUGAAAAAAUGGAAAAUGUAUGUCCCAAAAUGUGGAAAUAUUUCCAUGGUCUUAUUAUACAACCACAAUGUCCAUUGCAAAGUUUUGGAAAGGUUAUGAAGGUAAAAGAUUUAAGGUUUGAAGAAUUAGAAAAAUAUAAGGAUAGUUUGCAGAGGAAAUAAAAAAUAAAUCAUUACUCUUUUCUUUCUCCCUUAAAAAAAAACAAAAACAAAAAAAAGGCAGGGAGAGCAGAUAGUAUUAGAUGAAAGAGGUGAUGAAUAAAUAGAAAGGUUGAAAAGGAAAAUAAUAUAUU
ensembl:lncRNA